GAUGAACGCUGGCGGCGUGACUAAUACAUGCAAGUCGAGCGAACGGACGAGAAGCUUGCUUCUCUGAUGUUAGCGGCGGACGGGUGAGUAACACGUGGAUAACCUACCUAUAAGACUGGGAUAACUUCGGGAAGCCGGAGCUAAUACCGGAUAAUAUUUUGAACCGCAUGGUUCAAAAGUGAAAGACGGUCUUGCUGUCACUUAUAGAUGGAUCCGCGCUGCAUUAGCUAGUUGGUAAGGUAACGGCUUACCAAGGCAACGAUGCAUAGCCGACCUGAGAGGGUGAUCGGCCACACUGGAACUGAGACACGGUCCAGACUCCUACGGGAGGCAGCAGUAGGGAAUCUUCCGCAAUGGGCGAAAGCCUGACGGAGCAACGCCGCGUGAGUGAUGAAGGUCUUCGGAUCGUAAAACUCUGUUAUUAGGGAAGAACAUAUGUGUAAGUAACUGUGCACAUCUUGACGGUACCUAAUCAGAAAGCCACGGCUAACUACGUG
rnacentral:rRNA from 1 species